rnacentral:ncRNA from 1 species
AUAAUGACGAUGAAUGGAAGAGUAAUUGUAUUGGUAAUAUUCACAGCGAGCUGGAGAUGGUGUAAGCCAGUAAUAUGAAAUACAAUGAAAAUCAUCCACGAGUUGCGGGCUGAAGAAUUAGUAAGCUGCGCCGGGCCUCUUUUAGAGGAAUUGCUGCCCGUUAUUGCAGCGAGGUAUAGAGUAUUUAUGCUCCGUACCUAUGAGAUAUUAUGGUUUAUUCCAUAAUAAUUUGGGUGGUAUCGCGGAUUAACCUCCGUCCCUUUA